rnacentral:misc_RNA from 1 species
AUGCAGGAGAACCGCAGCCGUACCGGCCGCAGCCACCUGUUUUCCAGUUUCACGGAGACCGACAAACACGAUGUCAUCUCGAGCUUUCUUCUCGCUGGGCGGGACACGACGCCAUCGGCGCUGACGUGGUUCUUCUGGGCGACCUCGUUGAAGCCUGAGGUGAUGAAGAGCAUAGUUGAGGAGAUUAGACGGGUGAGAUUGG